GGUAAGAUGGCUGAAUAAAGGCGGCAGGUUGUAAUUCUGCUCAUGGAGGUUUAAUUAAGUCCUCUUCUUUCCA
rnacentral:tRNA from 1 species